rnacentral:rRNA from 1 species
AUUGAACGCUGGCGGAAUGCUUUACACAUGCAAGUCGAACGGCAGCACGGGGGCAACCCUGGUGGCGAGUGGCGAACGGGUGAGUAAUACAUCGGAACGUGCCCGGGCGUGGGGGAUAACGUAGCGAAAGUUACGCUAAUACCGCAUACGAUCUGAGGAUGAAAGCGGGGGACCUUCGGGCCUCGCGCGAUCGGAGCGGCCGAUGUCAGAUUAGGUAGUUGGUGGGGUAAAGGCCUACCAAGCCGACGAUCUGUAGCUGGUCUGAGAGGAAGACCAGCCACACUGGGACUGAGACACGGCCCAGACUCCUACGGGAGGCAGCAGUGGGGAAUUUUGGACAAUGGGGGCAAGCCUGAUCCAGCCAUUCCGCGUGAAGGACGAAGGCCUUAGGGUUGUAAACUGCUUUUGUAUGGAACGAAAAGGCUCUGGCUAAUACCUGGGGCUCAUGACGGUACCGUAAGAAUAAGCACCGGCUAACUACGUG